ensembl:lncRNA
GGGAGGGGAUGGCUAAGUGUUAUGACCACAGGGCCCCAGGAGCACAGAUCUGGAUCACUGGGAAAGAUGAUCCCCCUUCCAUAAAGUGGGACCUGUGAAGGAAGGAGAGAAGGGGGAGGAAGAGGUUGGGGGCAGGAGAGUAAGUUUCCACCACAGAAGGAUGAAGAGUUGGCUUGGUUUGGCUGGAAUGGAAGAAGUGAGGCAGAACCAGCAGGCAAGACCUCCUGAGCAAAGCUGAGGGGCUUGAGAUUAAGCCUGCAGGGCACUAAAGGAUGUGUGAGCAGAGGGACACUGUCUGAUGUGCCAUUUGGAAAGAUCUUUCUGGCAGCAGCAUGAAGACUAGACUAUCUGGAAGGAGAAGCAAGCAUGAGAAGCCAGCUAGGAGGCGUCUGCGGUGAUCCAGGCAAGAGGUGGCUGCGGGGAGUUUAGAGGCUGGGGGAAGACAUGAGGAACCCUCACCUAAAUGGAGCCAGGCGACCACGGCACCAGGAAGAGAGAGCUGCUGCAGUUAUUCCUUAGGUCCUGGCAUUGCACACACAGCCUGACUAGCCUGCAGCCCCAUAAGAACUCUACAGUGGUCAUGUAUGGAUGUGAGAGUUGGACCAUAAAGAAAGCUGAGCGCCGAAGAAUUGAUGCUUUUGAACUAUGGUGUUGGAGAAGACUCUUGAGAGUCCCUUGGACUGCAAGGAGAUCCAACCAGUCAAUCCUAAAGGAAAUCAGUCCUGAAUAUUCAUUGCAAGGACUGAUGCUGAAGCUGAAGCUCCAGUACUUUGGCCACCUGAUUCGAAGAACUGACUCAUUGGAAAAGAUCCUAAUGCUGGGAAAGAUCAAAGGCGGGAGGAGAAGGGGAUAACAGAGGAUGAGAUGGUUGGAUGGCAUCACUGACUCAAUGGACAUGAGUUUGAGUAGGCUCCAGGAGUUGGUGAUGGACAAGGAGGCCUGGCGUGCUGCAGUCCAUGGAGUCACAAAGAGUCGGACAUGACUGAGCGACUGAACUGAACUGAGGUAGUGAACGUCGUUGCCAAGGUCACACUGCAGGGCAGUUUGCUUAGCAUGCCUUUGCUGGCACCACCCUUCUGCCAUUCAUGGUGUGAUGAUGGCUAAUUUUGUGUGCCAACCUCCCUGGGUUACGGGAUGCCCUGGUAUUUGGUCAGACAUAAUUCUGGGUGUUUCUAGAUUAGAUUAGCACUUGAAUCUCUAGACUGAAUAAAGCAGGUUGUCCUUCCUAAUGUGGGUGGUCUUCACCCAAUCAGGUGAGGGCCCAAAUAGAACAAAAAGGUGGAGGAAGGAAGAAUUGUCUCUCUCUGCCUGACCGCUUGAGCAGAGACCUCGAUCUUCUCCUGACCUUGGAAUGGGGCUUAAACUAUCAGCUCAUAAACACCUCUCAGGAAGGGAAAUUCCCGUCCUCCGCCCCUAAAUAGGAAAGGAACAUUCUGGAAGGCUUUGUCAGUUUGCUCAUCUAGAGCUCCAUCUUUCUAUCCUUCCCCGCUGACUCUGAAACCCAGGAGGCUGACCUGUGUGGGCAACAUGAGCUGAAGUCUCAUGCCUUCUGGCUUCUGGUUGGGUCUGUCCAAUGGGAGGGCCCACUGGAGGAGUCUAGAGGGUUCGAGGAGAGAGCUUGGGGCAUUUGUUCCCCUUGCCACUUUCCUUUGGAGGUAUGGCUGUCUCCAGCUUCCAAUCAUCUCCCUCCUGUCCAUCAGGGUCUUAACCAUUCUUUUUCGUUUCUUGUGGCACUGCCUACCCUUGGCAAACAGUCCCUUAUUGAAAGACUCCCCUGUUGCCCUGUUUGCUGGUAACACCUCUUUCCAGCUGGAACCUCAAAUGAUACAGGAAGUUGGGAGACUGGGAGGCAAUAGAGCCCCAACAAAUGCUCACAAUAUGGUGGUACCGAUGCCCAGGGGGGCAGGCAGCCUGAUAAGGUGGCAAGAGCAUGGACUCGGGAGACAGACCUCCUGGAGUCUGAAUUUUCACCCCAGCUCUCACUACCUGUGUGAACUUGGUCAAGUUCCUCAGCUAGGCUGACCCUCCUUUGUUCUUUACCUGGGAAAUAAAAGUUAAUCUGUAUCCCCUGGGUUUGUCAUGAGAACUGAAUGAGAGAUUUAUUAAAGCACUUGUCACACAGGGGACCGGUGAUGGCCCAAGGGGUCCACCUUGUGUGCCUGCUCCAACUGACCAGUCAUGGCUCCUUGAAGCCCUGUGUGGAGAAGAAUUCUGACUCCCCAUCCUGGCCUGGAGGUGAUGGGCACACUCACGAUUGGUGAUGGCAGUCAUGGUGUGGACCAGAAAGCGGCAGUAGAAUGUGCUUACAUUUCCAU